GAUAAUGUGAAAGUAAAUAAUUGUGUGAAUAUGUAUAUAGUAACGCGUUUAUGUUAGUUAUCAAGCUGAGACAAGAUACUUUGACACGUACAAAUGAUUGUAAUUCGUUGCACGAACUUUUUGGGCGUUACAAAACAGUGCCUUAUCGUGCGACAUAUGAAGUAUUGAUAUCUUAAAUUAUGAUCUUGUUAUCGUAUUAUUUAUUCGAAAUUUAUUAGCAUGUAUCUGUCAACUGUCAAUUAUAAAACGCGUUCAGAUAUUCUCUUCUUUAUUCCGUUUUAAUGUUACAACUAGAAAAAUGCUAUGGCGUCCUCAGGAUCAUAUAAUGGGGAUGCAGAGACAGAGAGUGAUAAGUUUGAAGGUUCUAAAAUUGAUCGACAUGGUUUCCUUCAAGAUUCCAAUUGUAGCUCUGACAGCCUUGUUAAACAAGGAUUACCACCAGAGGUAAUGCUUAGAAGGGAACGAAAAUGGAUACAGAUGUUAAACAAUUGGAGUUAUUUCAUGAAUACAAAUUAUCGUAAAGUUAGAGAAAGAUGUAGAAAGGGUAUUCCACCUUCAGUAAGACUUCGUGCAUGGCUAAAUCUUUGCGGAGGUCAAUUGCUAAUGGAUACAAACCCAAAUUUAUUUGAAGAGUUGGUGGAGCGAUCUGGUGAUCCAAAGUAUAUAGAUGAUAUCAAAAAAGAUCUUCAUCGUCAAUUUCCACAUCAUAUAAUGUUUAUUGGAGAAGCUCCUGGACAGGAGGAACUGUUCAAAGUAUUGAAAGCUUAUUCUAUUUUAAAUAGUAAAGUUGGUUAUUGUCAAGCUCAAGCACCUAUUGCUGCAUUUUUACUGAUGCAUAUGCCAGCAGUACAAGCAUUUUGGUGCCUUGUUGCAAUAUGUGACAAGUAUUUAAUUGGAUAUUAUAGUCAAGGAAUGGAAACAUUAUUACGCGAUGGAGAUAUUUUAUUUGCUCUUUUGAAAAGAGUGUCUCCCAUUGCUUACAAACAUUUGAAAAAACAAAAGAUGGAACCAAUCUUAUAUAUGACCGAAUGGUUCUUAUGUGUUUAUACGCGAACACUGCCAUGGGAAAGUAUUCUACGAGUGUGGGAUAUGUUCCUUUGUGAAGGUGUUAAAAUUAUCUUUAAAGUUGGACUAGUUUUGUUAAAAGGCAGCUUAGGACGCACAUCUCUUACUAAGCGCUGUCCGACAGUUUAUGAAACGCUUCAAGUAUUAAGAAAUCCUCCUCAGCAUAUUAUGGAAGAAGAAGCUUUAGUUUAUCAGAUUCGAAAAUUAAAUCUAACCGAAGAAGAUUUCGAAUACGAACAUCAACGUCAAGUAUUAAAACGGAAAGCUGCAGAGCAAGCAUCUCUUUCCACUGCCAAUCGGACAGACUGAUUACAAAAGAAUAGAUAGCAUGUAAAGUGAAUAAUGAGCUUACAGUUUUUAGCGGAAAGAAGUAAUAUUGAUAGAGAGGCUGCUUAAUCGGAAAUUCCACGUGAGUUUUUGUAAUCUGAGGUACCUCGCCGGAAGAGAGUGCAUUGGUUAAUGAAGACAAACUGAUCGUCGAUCCCUUUUCUAAUGCGCUUUUAUACAUGGCCGCCAAUUCUGCCCUUGUAAAUCCAAGCACUUCUGGAUCUUUUACUUUGGUAACAAUCGGAAUGUGAGGCUGAAAAAUCAGAGGUUCACGCUCGUAAUGGAAAUACCAUGUUACGGAUGUGCGUAACAAACACUCGCGGUCAGUAUGUUCGCAAUUGUACUAGCAGGGAUGGACUGCAUGAAUAUCCUCGGCCAACUCGUUCCCCACCAGGUAUUCGAGGAAUUCAUGGUUGUACAAUUAUCCAAUUACCUACUACUACAAUGCAAGAUUGGUGACUCCAUAGACAUACGAUAGAAUAUAAUGGAUGUGCCCGAAACCACAUACGUAUUUGACGAAUAGUCCAUGAUCAAGUUUUCAAAUACACAUAAAUUGGGCAACACGAGUGAUUAUUAAGUGACUCGUAAGAAAAAUGGGAACAGUACAGUAAACCAGUUCAGAGGAAACAAGCGACAAGAUUAAGUGCAAUCUUGAUCUGGAGUCUUUUGCUUUUUGACGCAGAUCAUAGGAUGCCAUCAAGUUCGUUAAAAGGAAACUUGCAUGGAUGCCCGAACAUAGACAAAAGCGAGAAUCGUAUACAUAAUACAUAUAUAUUUUCUCAGUUGUGGUAAUACUUUUUGUUUUAAGCGAGAGACAAUUGGUAUAUCGGUAUUAGUAUUUUAAUUGAGAAAGUUGUUUUAAUAUUUGAUUUAUUCUAAAAACGCCAUAUGAGAUGGUAAUAAUGUAUAUGGGACAAUAUAAUAAUGGGAUAGUAAUUUCCUAGAAGAUAUGGUUUAUAACAUUCUGCUCGUAUAAAAUCUAUGUCGUGAUUAUAAUUGUCAUUAGUUUAUUAUGCAAAUCACAGUGUAAGUUCUCGAUGUAGACCGUGUACAAUAAACGAUGAAGGAAUUGCGGUUCACUGAGUGGACCUGCGAGGAGCCGUUAGAUGGUAACCAAUGAUUUUCUUUAAUUAUAUUCGUCCAUCGUAAUUACUCGUCUAGAUUACAAUACUGAUAUUUCCCGCUUUCUACAUUAUAUACUUUUCGUUACAAAAUUAAAUUGCUCUAAUUUCCUAUAAUGAUAAAUAUCGAUAAUAUUACAAUAAAAACGAUUAAAUAGUUAUGUAUACCAAUACUAAUGAUGUUUGUAGCUUAAAAUUUACAUAACGGUACAUUAACUCGUGGGAUUGAAAAUGACUAGAUCCGCGAAUAGAUAGAAAAUAAUAAUUAAAUAUUAUAUACGCAUACAUUCGGAAUGAAAUUUGAUUUUGUGAGUCUAUAAAUUACACGAAGGAAUUUAUAUAAAAGUAGUCUUAGAUUUUCGUUGGACAAAUGUUAAAAGAAUGUACCGUAAUGUUUCGUGUCCUGUUAUGUUAGUAAAAGAAGGGGGAGGAAAGGAAAACGAAAAUUGCUCGUAUAGUUCGUUAUUGUGUCGUGUAUUUCCUUUCACAUCGAGUGCACCGUUACCAAUAUCGCUUUACAAUUUUUUUUUCUUUUCAUACAAAAAGAUGAUUCGAUAAUCAGCGUCGCUACAUCAUUUUUGUGAUUCGUCAAUUAUCGGCGAACGAUCAAUUGUCGUUACACGUAUUUCAUAGAUAUAAUAUAUAUAAUAUAUAUAUAUAUAUCUUUAUCUUUAGCAUAACCUCCCUCUUAUAAAGUAAAUAUCAUACAAAAUCUAAGGCUAUACGUAAUUUAACUUUUAAUCCUCCAUUACAUACGAACAUAAUGCGCUAAUACAAUACGCGGAUGAAUUUCAAUUUUAUUUCUCUUACACGGUUUCAUUUACAAAAAAAGAGAUUCUACUUAUUAUGCGUCAACGAACCGGAUUGGAGACGACGGUGGUAGGCCCUCUUUUUAGAGCGAUUACAUUUUUCUUUACGAAAUAUACGAAGCACAGAAACUGUUCUUUUCUUGUGUAUUAGACCUGGUGCAGAUGAGCCAUUGAGAUGUCUUUGCGAUUACGCAGCAGUGUACAAGGUUAUUGUUGCGAUUCAAUUAUGUAUAUAUAUUUUUAAUAAUGCAAUGCGCAUAGGCGUGCGUUCCCGCUAUUAACUCUUUCAUUUCUAACGUUGGCUGUAAUCAGCAUCCAUGCGAGGACCUGUAGAUACGAAUGCCGACCAUAGUCGGCGCGGAUGUAAUAAACCAUACUAACGCCGAUUAUAGUAAUGAUUUAUUCGGCAACAAUUAUGUUACGUUCUGUAGUUAUUGCUUUGAUUCUAUUCGGAAGAAUUUGGAAGCAAUCCGUUAAUGGUAUAUAUAUGUUAAUUUCUUCAAUGUUGAAAGUUACAGUUUUAUUUAACUCUUUUUUUCUAUGCAAAUAUUAAUGCAAAUAAAUAUUCGCGGCGCGCGUUCUUCCACUAUAGAGGAACCAUAUUCGAAGUUAUGUGAAUUGCAAAGACAGGGUUAAAAAUAUAAUGUUACUGAGAAUCGCACACAGAGUUACCGCUACGAAAUCUCAACAAUAUUGAGUAGCUUAUUUACACGUGGUCUUACACCCGUCAAUUAUAGACGGAAUGUCGAUUGCCGCUAAAUCGACUUGAACUUUGUCACGUAGUUUGUUCACGUGCGCACGCAGUUACGGUUAGUACGCGCAUCAGUUCCGGCUGUUCAGCACCGCUCGAUAUCGAACUCGAAAAUUUAAAGAGCCGUUCGUGUAUUAUAAUUUCUGAAAUUUGGCGAAGAAUUUAACCGUGGUUAGUUAAAAAUAUGCCUUAAAAGUAUACGUUAUAUACAAAACGAAAGGAUACCGUUACAAAAGAUUAGUGCCCAAGUUGAUUGAAAGUGAUACUCGAUAAAGAUUUACGUUUUUUUUUUUUCAGGAUCACGGUAUACGAUUCUACGAUGAAAGACUAUUCUUUGAAAAGAUCUGGUUUCAACUCGUUCGCACAUUGAAUUCAGAUCACGAAUUGAUUAAUUAAUAAUUUGCAUUAAUUUCAGAGAAUUGUUUGUGCGAUUAUUAUAAACAACGAUGGGAAUUAUAUCGUUUGUAAUUUCGCUAAAAAUAGGCCGAGAUAGGUUUUUUCUUUUUCUUUUCUUGCUUCUAUCCUUAUCGUUUAAAUUGAGUAUCGGUAUACAAAAAGUUGUAAAUGUAGUUUUAUAGUAAGCUUAGAUUAACAUAAAGAAAGACGUACAUAUUAAAUGUACAUUACAGAUUGCUCUAAGAAUUAAUUGCUAGUCGUGUAAAUAGAUGAACAUAAAUGUACGCUAUACUGUAUACUAAAAAUGAAACAACGACGAUUCAUAGCACAUCUUUACGUACACAAUUCGAGCGGAAACUUAUAUAUAUGUAUUUGUACAUGGCAGCACGAUAUUUUUAAACGAACGUCGCACGUAUACUUAUCCUUAAUUAUCAGAAUCCUCUACUUGACAGUACAGUCAUUGAAUAAAUAAAAAUUACAGAAUUCGAUAUAAGCUACGCAUCGGAGAAAAUAAAAUUUAACAAUAUGUCUAUACAUGUCGCUAAUGAAUUAGAUCAUGUAAAAUAUUUUAUUGCUAUGUUUACAGAAUAAGCAGUACCUCGUUAAAAUCUCGACGCAAAGGUUGCAACGAUAAUACCUAAUUAUAAAGAAUACUUUUGAUAAUACUUUUUUGUAUUAUCUGUCUAGAAUAUUUCCUCCGCCAUUAAGACUUUAUAACGAGAGAAAAUAAUCGGAAAUGAAAUAAAACGAAGUAUACAUAUAUAGGGCGAUGUGUUUUGAUCCAUUAAUGAAUACAUAUUGGACAAAAUCAUUAAUUCGACAUAUGUAUAUUUUUUAAAUACCCUAUAUAUAUAAGCUUAAUACUCAGAUGUAACGUCUUUUUGCUUCGAGUAUUACAUAGUUUGGAAAAAAUCACUACGCAGUUUUGUAAUUUCAGCAGCUAUUUACAAUGAAAGAUUAUUCCAUACACAUCGUGUCGGACCAUUAGCUGUAAGAUACCGAUAUUUUUACAUCAUGCAAAUAUUUGAACACAAGUUGAACUGAUGCUACAUCGAAUGAUUAUAUAAAAAAGAAAGAUAAAAAAAUCAGUAAGUUCCAUUUAAUUACGAUCGAUCGCCUUGUUUCGUGGCAUCUAGGUUAUCCGCAAAACGCGUAACAUUUUAAUUGUCAGAUUACUUUCAUCUUAACAGCGAGUCGGUAAAAAGUAUUUAAAAAAAUUCAAAUAUGUAUAUCCGUAUCAAAUGUAAAAUGUCCUCGGAAGUUCAUUGAAAAAUUAGAUAAAAGUAACUCGAAAUUACAAGUUAUAAAAGUACAAGAUUGAUGCUAUAGAAAUUAAUUUCUAUUGCCAGUUAUACAAAGAGGAUUGUGAUUCAUCACAUCUUAAACUCAUCAGUCGCAUAGAAUAUCACAGGAACGUUAGUAGGUGCCAUUGGAUUUAUGUAUAUCAGAUAGAUAGUACAUUGCUCGUGCACGUAUUAAGAAAGUAUAAAGAUGUAUAGAAAAAAAACAGAUCUUAAAGUUAUCCUGUUUCAAUUCAAAAUCCAAAGUCUGUCAGUAUACUCUCGUUACUAAGGCAAUACUUUGCCGGUACAUUGCAUAUUUAAGAAGCUUUCUCAAUGUACUUUAGUGAAUCGUCAAACACAAGCAAUGAAUAAAUCACAAUGAAAAAAUGAAGUAUAAGCAUAGAAAAUGCCCUUGACAAUUAUCUUACUUGGUAUCAUUGCAAAUUUCAAUUUAUGUAUCAAAAUUGUAAAAAAGCUUUUGCUUCAAGCACUUUGAUCUCCAAGCAAAAUAGUUUUUUUUAUUGUGCUUUGUAAAAGUCUUCUCCCUUUCUUUUAAUUGUAAUAAGCUUGUGCUGCUACAAUUGACAUCUGUGCUGUAAUAGCAACAGAAAAAUUUCAAAUUCGUUUGCAUCGAAUCAAAGGUAUUUCCUUCAAAGAAGUAAGCUCCUUUGGUAAACGAUUUUAUUUUAAUUCCAAUAUUUUAAAGAUAUUUGUCAAAUGCAGCACAAUCAUAUUCACAAUAUAUCAUACUUCACUGCUAUGGCAAUAGCACAAUGUACAAAGAUCUACGCUAGCUGAUUCGAGUACUAUUACUUAACACGGUUACUUCAUUCGGAUAAUAGAGUGAAUUUAUCAUGAAUGGCAUUUUUAACGCGUAAGUUGACACAUAGUUGGUCAAUCACCUUUGUCUGGACACAGGAGAAUAUUUAAUAUAUAUCCUACAUGAAUUAUAUAUUAUCCACGAAAAAGACCGCCGUCUCCUCUUUUUCUUACACGUACUGCCUAAUACCAACGUACAUACCAACAAACCUCACGCACACGUUCCUAUAGGGCACGGUGUAUCAUUAAUCGCGCUACAUGUUCCUAGCCAAUUACAUAGAGCCAUUUACUUCGAGAUGAAUUAAAGUUAAUAUCAGAUCGAUAACCAAUUUAACUUCAAUCGACCGCAUCUAGUUUGAUUUAAAUAAAGAACUAACAUAUCAACACACAGCCUGAUGUAAUUAAUAAUGCGCGUCAUUAUUAGGAUAUACCUUUUGAGAGAAAAUGGCAAGCUGUGCAGCUGCCGUUAACUUUAACUUAUAUCUAAGGUAUAUCUGUAUUAUAAUACAUUGUAUUUUUCUUAUGCGCAUUUUACAAAAUGAGAAGUUAAAAAAUUGCAAUACACUUGUUAUUUGGCCGAAACAUAUCUUUUCUUUUCUUAUUGGACUGUAUCAGUAUCUUUGUUAUGAUAAAAAUAAAAAAUUGUAUACAUUAAUUUA